CCCACACAAAAUUUCGUAAAAGGUUAAGCAAAACCUUGUGUCUUACCUGCAAUUGCAGCUGUCAAUGAAUACUGUCUUUUGGUAAACAAAAAGACUUCUGUCUAAAUUAAGUUUCCGAAAAUUGAAUCAAGACAAAAUACAUACAAAAGACAUUUACAUGUGAUGAUACUAUCAAAGUUAUUGUCUUAACUGUAUAUCUAGCUCUAAAUUGAGUCGAGAUAAGUUGUGAAAAAAAUCAACAUAUACACAUACCACAAAAGAUUUGCAAUUUGCCAUCAACACAUCUUCCUUAAAAACAUAUUUUUAAGAUGCAACUUAAGACAACCACUGAUAUGGUUAUGACUUCAAUUUGACUAGGCUACAGACAUGGAACAAAUUAAACUAGAGGCUCUAAAAUGCCUGUGUCGCUCACCUUGGUCUAUGUGCAUAUUAAACAAAGGACACAAAUGGAUUCAUGACUAGUUUAAUUGCUGUUCUUCAUGAACCAUACACCAGUUUAUUGACCACACAACCCACCAAAUUCAAGGUAGAUAACUGUAUACAGCCAUCUUAAAAUACCAGUACACAAUUGCUCUAGUUCUUAGCUUAACAUAACUGUUGACACAGAUUAAUGUCUCAUCUGUCUGCCAAAAAUAAAAAACCAGAUGCUCCGCAGGGCGCAGCUUUAUACAACCGCAGAGGUUGAACCCUGAACAGUUGGGGCAAGUAUGGACACAACAUUCAAGCUGGAUUCAGCUCUAAAUUUGGAUUGCGAUUAAGAAGUUGACACAGCAUAGGUUUCUGACACAGAAUGAAUGUGGUCUAAUGAACUUAAAAUAUUUUUUUUUUUUUUUGCCUUGGAGCAAUUCACUAUGUUGUUGAAUAUUAAUCCUCUCAAAAAAAUGUUUGAAGAAAUUUUCUUUUUAUUUAUGAAAUCUGAAAUGAGAAGAAUUUACCCCCCCCCCUUUUUUUUUCACAUCCCCCUUUCCCUUUUUCCAAAACUGAUCUCAAUUCAAAUUUCUAAUGGAGUUUGCAACAAUACUACUCAUUUAAAUACAUCAUAAAAUAUUAAAAUGUAAAAUAAAGUGCUUGUUAUCACUGAAUGGUAAAGAUUGUUUUAAUUUAUCAGUUGGUAGUAAAAGUGAAUAUACAUUGUAUAUUGUAUAAAACAAUUUAAGUUGAUUCAACUACUAUUCUGGACAAAGAAAGAUAAUUCCAAUUGAAAAUUUCUUGCUAUUGCACAAAUUGUGCAAUUAGAUAUUUCUUGCUAUUGCGCAAUACUGUGCAAUUGAAAAUUUCUUGCUAUUGCACAAUACUGUGCAAUUGAAGAUUUCUUGCUAUUGCUGAACACUGUGCAAUUGAAAAUUUCUUGCUAUUGCACAAUACUUUAUAUAAUAAUUUUGGAUCCUGAUUUGAACCAACUUGAAAACUGGGCCCAUAAUCAAAAAUUUAAGUACAUGUUUAGAUUCAGCAUAUCAAAAAAGCCCAAGAAUUCAAUUUUUGUUAAAAUCAAACUUAGUUUAAUUUUGGACCCUUUGGACUUUAUUGUAGACCAAUUUGAAAACAGGACAAAAAAUUAAGAAUCUAAAUACACAGUUAGAUUUGGCAUAUCAAAGAAACCCAAUAAUUCAUAUUUUGAUGAAAUCAAACAAAGUUUAGUUUUGGACCCUUUUGGCCCCUAAUUCCUAAACUGUUGGGACCAAAUCUCCCAAAAUCAAACCCAACCUUCCUUUUGUGGUCAUAUACCUUAUGUUAAAAUUUCAUACAUUUCUGUUCACUUAUACUUUUAAAAAAAGUUAUUGUGCGAAAAACCAAAAAAAUGCUUAUUUGGGCACUUUUUUGCCCCUAAUUCUCUAAUCUGUUGAGACCAAAACUCCCAAAAUCAAUCCCAACCUUCCUUUUAUGUUCAUAAACCUUGUGUUUAAAUUUCAUAGAUUUCUAUUUACUUUAAAGUUAUAGUGAGAAAACCAAAUGUCUUCAGAUGACGACGACGCCAACGUCAUACCCCUAUACGACCAAAAAUUUUUCAAUUUUUGCGGUCCUAUAAAAAUUCAUUGAUCUAUCCUAUCAAACUGAUAAAAGCAGAAAAGUUAAAAGCAUUAAAAUCUACUUAUUGAUUCAGUCACUGGACAAUAACCUAGUGGGCAGGGCUUCCAAAAGGUCUUCAUACGGAUAUGUAAUUAGUUAAAUUUUUUACAAAGAAAUGUUAGAGAAAUUUUCAUUUUUUACUUGUAACAAGAAAACAAAUUCACAGUCACUAUUUUUCCUACUAUUUUCUUAAAACCUAUCCUCUCAUAUUUUACUUCAAAAUUCUAUCUCAAAGAUUUCUAAUUAUUCCCCAAAAGUAUUUUUUUCAUGUAUAAUGAUUAAAUCUAUGCAAAAUUUGUAGAUUGAAAUAUAGCACAGUGACCUAUAAUUUUUAUGAAUGUUUUGAACAAAGAACAGUAAAAUCUACAUUUUG
rnacentral:lncRNA from 1 species